CUCUACAUUCCACUGUCUUUACAUUUUCUCUAUCCUAUCAAUUAUUUCUUUCACAAUCUCAAAAUACUAACCGAACUAAAUUUUGGUGUUUGUGAGUUUAUGGUAGAAGGAAUAUUAUCGAUGUUUAGUCAAUGAUGCUUCUGCAGUAGAGAAGACUAGCAGAAGAGGAUGCUGCUAUUGUAGUAGAUACCAGAUUUAAGUUAAGGAUUUUGGCCCAGAACUAUCCUGAUACGCCAGGUUUUUUACUAUGGUCACUCCAUAUAUGGUAAUAUAUUGAAUUUCAACGUUGGUGCUUUACUUGUUUUGGACAUCCCACGUUGUUUUUGGAGUCGCUUCGCUGAGAAAUAUGGGAAAAUUUUUUAUUGGAAAGAAAAGGAAUCUGGUAAGUACAAACUGGGAGAUCCGAGAAAAUUCCAUUUACCUUAAUCAAUCAAAUUGCAUUGAGCUGGAUGGGUUGGAUGAUUCUAAGUUGCAACUAAGAGAGCUAUGGAGGUUGUUGUUGGGAUCAGCAGAUGAGCAGGUACCCCUCAGUAACAUUCCCAUUGAAGAGUGUGUGUAUGUUUCUUCUUUUUUCUUUUUAUAGUAGCUGCAGUACUUCAUUUAGGAAACAUUGAGUUUAUUGAGGGAGCGGAAGAUGAGUUGGAUGAAAAGUCCAUUUACCACCUAAAAACAGCCGCAGAGCUUUUGAUGUAAGUGAAGUCGC